rnacentral:rRNA from 1 species
AUGGGUAUGCAGUCUAUGAUGGCUGUCCGGUGCACGAACCUUGUCAACCCUGUAUGCGACUGGCUUGGUGAGAUCUACGACCCCGCCUCCAGGGAAUUCGUGAUUCCGGGACGUGGAAGACUACCGCUGAACGAGGAAUCCGUGUUCUGCACUUUGGGUGUGCCUCGUGGACAUAUCAAAGUCCCGUACGAGGUCAACAAUGAGAUCGAGGAAGCGUUGUUCCCCCGUUUGUUUCCUGGGUCGGAAUCCAUGCCAAACACGUCUGCAGUGGCAGAUUCGCUGCAGGCCAUGACGACGCAUGGAGAUGUUUUCAAGAUGAAGCUACUCAUGUACCUCAUCUCAGCCGUUUUCGCGCCGACCACUUCUCUUCGCCCAAGCAACAAAUGCUUCCCCAUCCUGGCGAAACUGAAAGAUGUGAAGAACAUGAAUUGGUGUAAGUUCAUUGCCGACUUCCUGCAUGAUGCAUUCUCAAGCAAGGUGUACCAGAAGGGUUGUCGACUGCAUUUAAUGCUCAUGUACGUCGACUGUCUUGAUCUGUCCACCGUGGAUUUCACUGGGACAAGAGGCCCGCCGCCUACGCACAAGUUUGUUAUUUCUGCGUGGACUAUCGAUGUUGUCAAGGCUGUGCUUGCUGCAGACAGGGUAACUGAUACCAAAUAUGGAAAACUGCAGCUGAUGGCCAAGCAUGCUAUAGACUACAACGUGUUUGGGGGGCCUCAAAACUUUGGAAAGUGGAUGGACGUGCACUCAGCUCCGUCUUGCCCUGCCGAGGCGAGGGCACCCGCUGAGCAGCUAAUAGGGCAGUUUGCAUCUGGAAUGACCGGCUUGCUCGGGAAGUUGGUUGAGGGGUGGACGUCCCUCAGUGGCUCUGACAGCGACGCGGUUGCGAGACAAUUCACUUCAUUUGUCCCAGAACAUACACACCGGCCAACCGGUUGCCGUGGCUGGUAUGACUACAACAGUUCCCAGGAGCCUGUUGACACACAAGAUGAACUAGGUGGAGACGUUGGUCUCAGCAAGGAUGACGACGAUGUCAUGGAUAAUGUGCAAGAGGACACCGAUGAUGAUGAACAUGCUGAAGUUCGCGCAGGUGGUAACAAGGGAAAGGAUGCAACAGAUGUCCCCCAACCGGAU